UACGUAGGGGGCAAGCGUUAUCCGGAUUUACUGGGUGUAAAGGGAGCGUAGACGGCAAUGCAAGUCUGGAGUGAAAGGCGGGGGCCCAACCCCCGGACUGCUCUGGAAACUGUAUAGCUGGAGUGCAGGAGAGGUAAGUGGAAUUCCUAGUGUAGCGGUGAAAUGCGUAGAUAUUAGGAGGAACACCAGUGGCGAAGGCGGCUUACUGGACUGUAACUGGCGUUGAGGCUCGAAAGCGUGGGGAGCAAACAGG
rnacentral:rRNA from 1 species